GUGGCGGGGGUGCCCGGUUCCAGGUCUCGGCGACGAAACGACGUGGCCCCCAGGACGCGGGACUGGGCAUCCUUGAUGCUGUUUCUGUAGGCGCGGCUGAAAGGCGCAUCGAGCAGGGGCGACUCAGGGGUACCGGGCCUGUCCUCUGACCACGAGGCUUCCCUCUCCGCCUCACUGUAGAGCUGAAAGGUGCUCUGGCUGCGGAGCAGGCGGGCCUCCGGCCUUGAGGGCUCGCCGCCUCGGGCAGGAGGUCCACGGCCGUCCGCAGGGGCCCUCCGGAUCAAAUGGCUGCACUGGGGCCGGGAAGCCUCUUCCUGCUUAGCCUCCCCGUUUGGGGGGUUCUGCUCCCCAUUGCGCAGGUGUUCAGUGGACUCCGAGAAAUGGACGCUGCCGGCUUUUGGAUCGUCGAGGUCACUGCUGGAAGUACUGGGGGUCGGGCCGGUCCUCCCAGGCCUGUAGCCGGGGCCGUAUGCAGAGCUGCCCACGCUCAGGGGUCUGUGGCGCCCCUGCUCUCGUUCCUCUAUUCUAGAAACCUUCUCCAGCACGGAGCAAUGGGGCUUCCUGUACUGCGGGGCGGCGGAGCUGCUGGAGCUGAGCCGCCGCUGGCUCGCACCGGAUGUCUGUGGCAGCGCUGGGGCCGGGGACUCCUCAUACCUGGAGUCUGCACUGUGGACGGAGUCUACGGCGUUCAUUUUCCCCUCGGGCCUCGGAUAGGAAACAGAUCUGUCCAGGUAGCCCCUGAUGUCUGAAGCCCCUGCUUUCCUUCCAGGGUCCUCCACCUUGGACCUGCCCCCGGGGUGAACCUCCUGGGCUUCUCCAAGCUCCACGUUGCUUUGUCUUCUCAGACUCUCUGGAAUAUUCUGCAGAGAUGAGAAGGCCGAUCUGGUCCUGCCAGAGUUGCCCGACAGGCCCUGGCCUUGGCCCUCCCUCUCCACUUUCUGCCUGAGGUUGGCAUUGUGAUCUUCCUGAAAGUCACCCUCCCAGGGCUGAGAGAGCCUGGAAGGCCUCCUGUCAUCACCCACGUGCAGGGCCUGGGCCUGGGGGGACGAGAGACUGUGGUGAUUGGAACACGCUCUGCUGCCACCGUGGAUGUUCUUUCUCUCGCUGGGAUAUGGACUAUGGCCGUGGGGAGGUGUGAUGUGCCUCUUUAGGGAGGAGUCUUCAUUUUCAGGCACUGAAGAAAAAUGGACUUUGUAGAUGUAUUUGGCCGUGGGUUCUGGCCUUUUCUCCACCGGAGUCACCGAGUUGUGUUCUAGGGGCUGACAGAAGGCAAACCCAGGCCUGCUAGCUUCAUUUUGAUUCCCGUUCUCAUCUAAGGUAGCCAUCUUGUUACAGGUUCCCUGAGCAGCUGUGUAUCCACUCUCUUUGACUAGCGCAGGGUAGACGGUGCCAUUACUACUCACAGAGGGCUGGGGCACCUGGGCAAAGUGAGGCUCCGGAGAAGGUACCGGAUAGAUGCCAGUGGGCAGCAGAGGUUGGCCAGGCUGCGCCUUCUGGGUAUAAUUAUGCUUAGAUUUCACUGGGGGGCUGUUCUCUGGACUCCUCUCUGGGACUGUAUGCAGCUGGUCCUCAGCGAAUGGGGUUUUCUGGGAGCCUGAAGAGUUUGUCUGAGGCCGGCAGAACCUUUUCUGAUCAAGGCUGGACCAGGAGCUGGGACGCUCGCGAUGGCGGAAGGCUGCAUAGCUAUCACUGCGGGUGGGGGGCAGGGGUGCGCCUGCCUUCUGGGGCAGGUUGUCAGUAGCAGUCUCCAGGGAACCAGAACACUGCUGGCUCCAAGACGGGGAAGGCGUUCCCUUGCCCCGAGGAAUGCUGUGCCAUUUAGCACAGCCCUGACUGUCGGCUGAGGCAUGGGCAUCCCUACCUUGAAGGAGCAAGGCUGAAGGGUUCACCUCAUACUCUGAAGAUACUCCUCUCCGGGUAUCAUAGACCGUCUUGACGUAGCGGAUGUCUGCCUGCCUCAUCCCUUCUAGGAGGCCACCCCGGGCAGAAAUCACGUCCAUGGAACCCGAACGUUCUCGGGCAGAGCCACCAGGGGGUGGGUACUCGAAGAUGCUCGAACUGGUGGAGAAGGAGCUAUAUGCGGAGUCCCUUUUGUUAUGAAGGUGGCCUAGCUGGUCGAUGCUGCUCGUGGACUUGGCAGGAGAAAGGAGAUGGCAGGGUGGGUAUCCGCCACUGGGCUCCAGGCUUUCCAUGCUCCCCUGGGAGCUGCACUGGUCAGGGCUCCGCCUCAGAUAAGCAUGGUCGUAGUUGGAGAGGUCACUGGUCGAAGAGCUGGGAAGAACAGGAGACAAAGCAGUCAGUCCGCUGAGGGGUGGUUUAGUGGACUCACAGACACAGGGCUCGGCUUAUAAAUCCACUCUUAUGCAAGAGGUUCCGUUUUUGGAAGGGUGGGUAAAAAGGGCCUUUUUCGGGGCUGUGUCACUACUAGGACUAAUUGCCCAAUGCUGUAGCCCUUAUGUGCCUCUAAUUAAUCACCCAGGCUAACCAGAAGAAGAGGGUGGCCUUGGGCACAGGCAGAAUGCUGAUGUGACUUGCUGUGCUGUAACUGACAAUUUGCACAGGCCAAGAAAUGAUACCGGGGAGGUGGGGGGGGGGGGUGGAAAUGAAGAAGGGAAGGGAGAGGGACAGAGGAGAGAGUUUUCUGUCCGUUGUGGAUGCUCGUGGGGAAACCGAGAAAAGCUUAGUAAGCAAACAGGCAUGUGGAAGGCUGGGGGACUUGGGGAGCUCACACAGGCGUAGGAUUUUAGUUAAUAUCUUUCCUUUUUAAGGAGUCAAAAGCUAGACUCUGGCAACCUUCCUGGAGUCUCGACGAUAGUAGGGACGAUUUGUUUGUGGGGAGAAGCUAAACACACAGCUGAAUGGAGAAAUCCACAGGGGAAAAAGAAGUUAGAGCCAGAAGAGACUGGUGAGAGAGAGCUGGCUAGGGAGAAAGGCCCGGCCAAGGGAGAGGGAAGCGGGAAGUCUUAAGCCACAGGAGGGCCUUAAGGCUGAAUUCCAUCACCAAAGCCACCCUCAGUGUGUCUUCAGAAGAGUGAGACCUUUGUAUAGUUGUAAGCUCCUCUGAGUUGAGGAGAGAAAAAUCUCAAUAUUGGCCCUUCAUACACCAGAAAUCAGCCUUAAAAAAAAAAACCAAACACACCUGUUUGUGUUAAUAAUAGAAGAGUCUAACUUGCUUGUGUGGGGACUGGGGAGUUUGGGACAUCUCUGUAACUUCAAUUUUGUUAUGAGCUUAAAACUGCUCUAAUAAUUUACUAUAAGGGGCUGGAGAGGUGGCUCAGCAGUUAACAGCACCAGCUGCUCUUCCAAAGGACCUGGGUUCAAUUCUCAGCACUCACAUGGUGGCUCACAGCUAUCUGUAGCUCAGAUCCCAAGAGAUCUGGCUCCUUCUUUUAGCGUUGGCAGCCAUUACAUGAGAUUCAGAGACAUACAUGUUGACAAAACAACUAUACAUAUCAAAUAAAAAUAUAUUAUGAAACAUGUUUGGGCUGGGAGCAUAGCUCAGUGGUAGAGCCCUUGCCUAGCAUAUGCAAGACACCAAAAAGGAAAAAAAAUAAAAAUAAAAAAGAACUUAUACAUCAAUGAAGCCAUAUUAGAAUAAAUAAAAAUCAACC
rnacentral:lncRNA from 1 species